CAAAGUAUAGCUAAAUAGAUUAGUAUUUCAUUUACAUUGAAGUGAGUUAUCGUGCAAAUCGGUUUACUUUGA
rnacentral:tRNA from 1 species